rnacentral:rRNA from 1 species
AUUGAACGCUGGCGGCAGGCCUAACACAUGCAAGUCGAGCGGAGCGGCGGACGGGAGAGUAACACCUAGGAAUCUGCCUGGUAGUGGGGGAUAACGUCCGGAAACGGGCGCUAAUACCGCAUACUAUCAGAUGACUCUAGGUCGGAUUAGCUAGUUGUUGGGGUAAAGGUCUACCAAGGCGACGACCCGUAACUGGUCUGAGAGGAUGAUCAGUAACACUGGAACGGAGACACGGUCCAGACUCCAACGGGAGGGAGCAGUGGGGAAUAUUGGACAAUGGGCGAAAGCCUGAUCCAGCCAUGCCGCGUGUGUGAAGAAGGUCUGCGGAUUGUAAAGCACUUUAGGUUGGGAGGCGUUACCAACAGAAUAAGCACCGGCUAACUUCGUGCCAGCAGCCGCGGUAAUAC